rnacentral:rRNA from 1 species
AGUCACUGACAUUAGAUACCCCCGUAGUCCAGGGUGUAAACGCUGCAGACUCGGUGUUGGGAACCCUUCGGGGGUGCUCAGUGCCGGAGAGAAGUUGUUAAGUCUGCUACUUGGGGAGUACGUCCGCAAGGAUGAAACUUAAAGGAAUUGGCGGGGGAGCACCGCAACGGGAGGAGCGUGCGGUUUAAUUGGAUUCAACGACCGAAAAACUCACCAGCAGCGACUGUUACAUGAAAGUCAGGUUGAUGACCUUACUAGAUUUUCAG